rnacentral:lncRNA from 1 species
UCCAACGUUGCCUCGCGGAGGCCGCCGUGCGGAGCAAAUGUCUAACGGAAAUCAGAGGUGGAAAAGAGGUUGGAGGAGCCUGUUCCGUUCCACCCGCGUUUACUGAUGCGCCCACCAGCAGCCACGCUUGGGGCUGGGGGCUUUGAGGACACGCACUACACCAGGGGAAAGUGAAAAAAGAACCACAUUUGAAUUCGGCUUUGUCACUACAAGUGGGUGACCAUGAGCAAGUUACUAACCUCAGUGAACCUGUUCCUAACCUAAAAAGGAGGAGAAUGGAGAGCAGAUGAACUCAUCCUUAUGGAUUAAGAAGACAAAGAAUACAAGCAAGCAGGAGAAAGUCUAAGAAGAGAGUUCACCUGGUGGGUGGCAACGUUCACAGCAAGAGUACCAUCCUUCUGUAACAUGCAUUCUCAAAAGAGCCAAUAUCACCUUCAAAAGGACGUAAAUUGCUUCUUGGGGUAGGGAGGCCAAAAAAAAAUCUUAAAUAUUAUAGUGGUCUGUGGCCCCCACAAAGUUCAGCCCUAUUCCUUAGUAUUUAAUUUUUCUUUUAGGGAGCAUUUAAACCUAAUUAACUCUUCCCCUUUAGGGGCAGUGAUAACAAAAAACAAAUUGAGAAACACUGCUUUAUAGAGAUGGAGGGCAAGCUCUAAAACAGAAAAAGAAUAGAUUUCCUGGCUUCCUAAGGUAGACCUCUUAAUCCUUCCGAAAACCUUGGAAUUCCACUGACUUCCAGAUCCUUGCCCCAGGUUCUGCCACUGUGGUAGCUCCAGCCAUGCCAGCUCUGUGCAACCCUUCCUGUGCUUUGUAACCCAGGCCUGCAGACAAGUCCUCACUACACAGAGGUAGUGAGAGAGUGUAUGCAGGAGGCCUUGUCUUUAUGCAUAACCUGCUAGCAAUGUAGCAAGACAGUGCUGGGGGCACAGCAAUAAAAUUACACUUCGUGCCCAGAUUAUAGAUCCAGGUGAGGUGACUUGCUAGAGAAAGGGCUUCCCCAUUCCCCCCAGCUAUAUAAGGUAAUGAAUUAUGCUAGGGUUUCAGGAUUUCCUGAUUGGCAGGGUAGGAGGCUUGGUUUUCCCCCUCUGCUCCCACUCAGGGCUUCCUGUGAUAUGGCAGGCGGAAAACCACCACCAUGACCACUCAUGAAAAUGGGAGACGGGCCGGGCACAGUGGCUCACACCCGUAAUCCCAGCACUUUGGGAUGCUGAGGCAGGUGGAUCACAUGAGGCCAGGAGUUCCAGACCAGCUUAGCCAACAUGGUGAAACCCUGUCUCUACUAAAAAAAAAAAAAUACAAAAAUUACUCAGGCAUGGUGGUGCACAUCUGUAAUCCCAGAUACUCGGGAGGCUGAGGCACAAGAAUCGCUUGAAUCCGGGAGGUAGAGGUUGCAGUGGGCCAAGAUCGUGCCGCUGCACUCCAGCCUGGGUGACAGAGCGAGACGCUGUCUCAAAAGAAAAAAAAAAUGCUACACAGUGUCCACUCCUUCUCCUUCCAGCUGAGACCCAGCUGGGCUUGGGCUAGUUGAAAAAGUAAAGAAGGAUGGAAGGAAUAUCUCCCACCUGCAGCUCUAGGUGGUACAGAAAUUAAGGGAUUGAUUGUGCAGAGCUGAGUAAAGAGAAGACCCGAGACCAGAGAACCAGAGUCAGGGGUCUGAAUUAGUCACUAAAACAAGGUGAAUGGUGGUGGUGGCAAAAGCAAAUGACGAAGGUCAAGAACAGAGCCAGGGUUCAAGACCCAGAAGGAACAGGUCCAGAGAAUAAGCCUUCUGGUAAUCCUCAGCAGCAUCUGGGUGGGCACUGUUGUCAUUAUGAACCAUGGUGCUUGCUGGGGUGGGAUGCAUGGCGUGGCCAGGACAGCCAGAAUGGAAGGCUUCCUUUGGAAGGCUUCGCUGAGCUAGCAGGAAGAUUUGGACAGGGGAACUGAUUUCUCACAACUCCUUCCUGACCACCCACAUAAUUGGUUCAAAUUAAGCACUAGGCUGUAGAGGUACCAAUUCUUUGUUUCCGGAGGCAGGAUGCUUUCUUGGCAUAGAUAUACACCCUGAGGAAGGAUGUGGCUAGCAAUAAUUGUCCUCUCCUCUUUUAAUUUAAACUUUUAAUUUUAGAAUAGUUUGGAUUUCCAGAAAAGUUGCAAAGAUAGUACAGAGUUUUUGCGUACUCCUUACGCCGUGUCUCCGUUGUUAACAUCCUGUAUCAUUCUUGUACAUUUGUCACAACUAAGGAGUCAAUAUUGGCACAUUGCUGUUAACUAAACUGUAUACUUUAUUCUUAUUUAACUAGAUUUUCCCCAAAGUUAUUUUUUUUAUCCCGAAAUCCCACCCAGGAUACCACAUUACAUUUUGCAGUCAUGUCUCAUUAGCCUCCUCUGGUCUGUGACAGUUUCUCGGACUUUACUUGCUUAUGACAGUCUUGAAAAGUAUUCAUCAGGUACUUUGUAGAUUGCCCCUCAGUUUGGUUUUGUCUGUUGUUGUCCUCAUGGAUAACGUGGAGUUCAGGGGUUUUUGGGAGGAAGACUAUCGAGGUAAGGUGCCUUUUUUUUUUUUUUUUUUUUUUUUGAGAUGGAGUUUUGCUCUUGUUGCCCAGGCUGGAGUGCAAUGGCACAAUCUCGGCUCACUGCAACCUCCACCUCCCGGGCUCAAGCAAUUCUCCUGCCUUGGCCUCCAGAGUAGCUGGGAUUACAGGCAUGCACCACCAUGCCUGGCUAAUUAUUUGUAUUUUUAGUAGAGAUGGAGUUUCACUAUGUUGGCCAGGCUGGUCUCAAACUCCUGACCUCAGGUGCUCCACCUGCCUCGGCCUCCCAAAGUGCUGGGAUUCCAGGUGUGAGCCACCACACCCGGCCAGUAAAGUGCCAUUCUAAUCACAUCAUAUAUGUUAAUCUGUGUUGCAUUGCUGUAAAGGAAUACUUGAGACUGGAUAAUUUAUAAAGAAAAGAGGUUUAUUUGGCUCACAGUUUGCAGGCUGUACAAGAAGCACAGUGCCAACAUCUGCUUCUAGUGAGGCCUCAGGAAGCUUAUAAAGUCAUGACAGAAGGCAAAGGAGAAGCCAGCCUAUUACGUGGCAAGAGAGGAAGCAAGAGAGAGGAGGAGGUCCCAGGCUCAUUUAAACAACCAGCUCUCUUGCCAGGUGUGGUGGCUCAUGCCUGUAAUCCCAAUACUUUCGGAGGCCAAGGCAGGCAGAUCACCUGAGGCCAGGAGUUGGAGACCAGCCUGGCCAACAUGGUGAAACCUCAUCUCUACUAAAAAUACAAAAAUUAGCUGGGCGUGGUGGUGCAUGCCUGUAAUCCCAGCUACUCAGGAGGCUGAGGCAUGAGAAUCAUUUGAACCCAGGAAGUGGAGGCUGCAGUGAGCUGAGAUUGCACCACUGCACUCCUGCCUGGGUGACAGAGUGAGACCCUGUCUCAAAAACAACAACAACAACCACCUGUCUUGUGAACUAACAGAGUGAGAACUCACUCAUUACCAUGGGGAAAGUACCAAGCCAUUCAUAAGGGAUCCACCCCCAUGACCCAAACACCUCCAACAAGGCGCCACCUCCAACACUGGGGAUCACAUUUCAAUAUGAGAUUGGAGGGGACAAACAUCCAAACUAGAUCAUCAUAUCAAGGGCACAUACUGUCAACAUGGCUUAUCACUGAGGGUGUUAAACUUAAUUGCCUGGUCAAGGUAGUGUUUGCCAGGUUUCUCCACUGUAAAGUUACUCCCCUCCCCGAUAUGGCAUAAUGAAUUAGACAUCAAUAAAGCUGUUACAAGAAAAGAUGAAUGAUAAUCUGGAGAAAGUUAUUUGGAACACAAAUGACUCACAAGGUAUUAAUAUCUUUCUUUUUUUUUUUUGAGACGGAGUCUCGCUCUGUCGCCCAGGCUGGAGUGCAGUGGUGCGAUCUCGGCUCACUGCAAGCUCCACCUCCCGGGUUCACACCAUU